GCUUUUCAAGAUGCAUUCAAACAAUUUCAAAGUAUAUCAUAGGUAAAUGAAAAUCAUCACAAGAGAGGAAUUUUUCAUGAAUCUUACUCUCAAUUCAAUCAUCAACCUUAAAACACAUGUUUACAUAUAUAUAUAAUUUCAAAUCAAUUUGAGGAAAGGCCUAAAGACCAAAACAAUAUCAUCAACGCUUCUAAAACAUGAAUAUAUUCGUAACUCCGACAUCCUUUUCUUAACACUACUAGAAAAACAGAAAAAAACGACCAUCAAUAACCGACCACUACCACAAAACUGACCAAAC
rnacentral:lncRNA from 1 species